UUGUACCCACUGGCUUGAACCAUGCCUUUAAUAGAAGGCAAUGGGCAGGCGCUGAAUCACUUGCCAAUUGGCUUCCACUUGGUGCAGUACUUAACUGAUCCCUUCAAGCCACAAGAUGGAGCCUUUGGUCUUCAGAUGUGAAGCAGAUGCAGUAAUGCUUGGAUACGUAGGACCGAAUGUGCUCCUGAAUGCCCAGCUUUGGGAAAUACGAACCAGAAACCCAAAGGGUUUUGGCCACAAUCAGCUCGAUCAAGAAAUCAGACAUGCCAACAGGACUUUGAACAGACAUUUGUUUCAUCUAUUGUUUAAUCCUCCGUUUACUUCAGCUCAGCUGCUGAUAGACAACUCUGACACCUGGUCCCUGGGGGGACGUUGAGGAGCGCAGUCAGCUUCUCCUCCACCGCUCGAGAGACUUCCUUUACUUUAUCGCCUCCAUAAAGGAUUGUCAUAGGUGAGCGUAUCAGCGCUUCUGAGAGAGCUAGCCUUUCUGACCUACAGCCUGAACGGCCACUGCACCCGCGCCUGCAUUACUAAUAGCUUUGCAGGGGGCUUGGAUUCUGCUGUAUGACCAUGUCCUUGUGCUCACGGCUGUGUUUUUUUUUAAUGGAACAUCUUUUGUUCUCUGCCAUUAAUUAGCAUUGUCUUAAGUUCAUUAGAGUGGCGUUUCUAAUGAGCCGAGGUGGACCUUCUACAAGGGCGUCAGCUUUGUGCUGGAUGACCUGACAAUGCUGUCCAUGUUUUCCAGGCCAAAGUUUAAUGCCAUCCACAGAGAGAGAAAGCAGUGCAGUCA